AGUGAACGCUGGCGGUAGGCCUAACACAUGCAAGUCGAACGGCAGCACAGUAAGAGCUUGCUCUUACGGGUGGCGAGUGGCGGACGGGUGAGGAAUACAUCGGAAUCUACUUUUUCGUGGGGGAUAACGUAGGGAAACUUACGCUAAUACCGCAUACGACCUACGGGUGAAAGCAGGGGAUCUUCGGACCUUGCGCGAUUGAAUGAGCCGAUGUCGGAUUAGCUAGUUGGCGGGGUAAAGGCCCACCAAGGCGACGAUCCGUAGCUGGUCUGAGAGGAUGAUCAGCCACACUGGCACUUGGACACGGUCCAGACUCCUACGGGAGGCAGCAGUGGGGAAUAUUGGACAAUGGGCGCAAGCCUGAUCCAGCCAUACCGCGUGGGUGAAGAAGGCCUUCGGGUUGUAAAACCCUUUUGUUGGGAAAGAAAAGCAGCAGGUUAAUACCCCGCUGUUCUGACGGUACCCAAAGAAUAAGCACCGGCUAACUUCGUG
rnacentral:rRNA from 1 species